GGGGUUGGAGCGAUUGGGACAGACUCUGGUAGUGAAGGGGUGGGUUCGGACUCUUCGUGUUCAGAGUUCUGUUACUUUCAUUGAGGUUAAUGAUGGUUCGUGUCUCUCAAACAUGCAAUGUGUUAUGGGUUCUGAUGCUGAUGGUUAUGACCAGGUAGAAUCUGGGUCAGUUACAACUGGUGCCUCAGUAUGGGUGCAAAGGAUUGUGGUGAAAAGCUAGGGAUCUAAACAAAAGGUGGAGUUGAAGGUCAAUAAGAUUGUUGUGGUUGGUAAAAGUGAUCCCUCUUAUCCC